UGGGGAAUAUUGCACAAUGGGCGAAAGCCUGAUGCAGCAACGCCGCGUGAGUGAUGAAGGCCUUCGGGCUGUAAAGCUCUGUCUUUUGGGACGAUAAUGACGGUACCAAAGGAGGAAGCCACGGCUAACUACGUGCCAGCAGCCGCGGUAAUACGUAGGUGGCAAGCGUUGUCCGGAUUUACUGGGCGUAAAGGAUGCGUAGGCGGAUUUUUAAGUGAGAUGUGAAAUACCCGGGCUUAACUUGGGUGCUGCAUUUCAAACUGGGAAUCUAGAGUGCGGGAGAGGAGAAUGGAAUUCCUAGUGUAGCGGUGAAAUGCGUAGAGAUUAGGAAGAACACCAGUGGCGAAGGCGAUUCUCUGGACCGUAACUGACGCUGAGGCAUGAAAGCGUGGGUAGCAAACAGGAUUAGAUACCCUGGUAGUCCACGCCGUAAACGAUGAGUACUAGGUGUAGGAGGUAUCGACCCCUUCUGUGCCGCAGUUAACACAAUAAGUACUCCGCCUGGGAAGUACGAUCGCAAGAUUAAAACUCAAAUGAAUUGACGGGGUCAAUAGCUGUUUCC
rnacentral:rRNA from 1 species